rnacentral:rRNA from 1 species
AUUGAACGCUGGCGGCAGGCCUAACACAUGCAGUCGAGCGGAGGCGGGGACGGGUGAGUAAUGGCUAGGAAUCUGCCUGGUAGUGGGGGAUAACGUCCGGAAACGGGCGCUAAUACCGGAUACCAUUAGAUGAGCCUAGGUCGGAUUAGCUAGUUGGUGGGGUAAAGGCCUACCAAGGCGACGAUCCGUAACUGGUCUGAGAGGAUGAUCAGUCACACUGGAACUGAGACACGGUCCAGACUCCUACGGGAGGCAGCAGUGGGGAAUAUUGGACAAUGGGCGAAAGCCUGAUCCAGCCAUGCCGCGUGUGUGAAGAAGGUCUUCGGAUUGUAAAGCACUUUAAGUUGGGAGGCGUUACCAACAGAAUAAGCACCGGCUAACUUCGUGCCAGCAGCCGCGGUAAUAC